ensembl:lncRNA
GCCUGCUCUACCAGACACAGGGCCUGCUCUCUACCAGCCACAGGGCCUGCUCUACCAGACACAGGGCCUGCUCUACCAGACACAGGGCCUGCUCUACCAGACACAGGGCCUGCUCUGAAGGCGUAACCUUUGAACCCUUUAGUGAGACUGACCAGAGAACGACCAGGUCCUCCGCGCCAAUCAAACCCACAAUCAGUAAUUAUGUUUUUGCACUCAUUUUAUUUGGCACCAAUCCUAUUAAUGUGGGACCCAUGGAUGUUUUGAUUUUGGCUUUACAAAUGUUUUUAAAACAAUCUGGCGUAUUAAUUUAUCAAACAUGUCUUUGAAAUUUGCUCUUGCCCAUAAUUACAUUAUUGCACAUACCUCUGUUAUUAAAUGUACAGUAUUAAGGAGUCUUCAGGCUACUGUUUUGUCAGCGUGUUUCUUUACUGGUCCUGUUUAAUGUCCGUUAACAGUACAAUAGAAAGCCCAUAAUGCAUUGAAACAAUGCAUGCACAAUUAGUCAAAAUAAGACUAAUUAUGAGAGCAAGGGUGUUUCAAUGUGCUUCUAUUUGAGUCAUUUAAACAAAGCUCAGGAUCAAAUGUUUAGUAAAUGACCCUUCAGCCAGAAUCUGUCCACCCAUCUGAAGGGAAUGUCUGUAACUAGAUACAGACCCUUAUAGCGGGUCCACUGUGUCGAUUAAACAGAACAUUCUGGAUUCACUUGAGAGAACAUCCAUCUCUGGGAGAAGACCCUCCUCACCCCCCCUCUUGUUCUCAGUGCUGUCCCUAAACGACAGACGGCAGGCAGGAACUAUUAAUAGCAGCGAGGCUCACAGAGGGGCUGAUGUACAUGAACACACCAUAAACACCGCGAGCAGAACCCAACACCUGCCGCACAGCCUCCGCACGGCGCCGCUCACCGCAGCGCGCCGUUGGUUGGUGGCCGUCAUUAUUAAUAUGCUAUAGACCCCCCCCCCCC